rnacentral:rRNA from 1 species
UACGUAGGGUGCGAGCGUUAAUCGGAAUUACUGGGCGUAAAGCGUGCGCAGGCGGUUGAUUAAGACAGGCGUGAAAUCCCCGGGCUUAACCUGGGAACUGCGCUUGUGACUGGUCAGCUAGAGUACGGCAGAGGGGGGUGGAAUUCCACGUGUAGCAGUGAAAUGCGUAGAGAUGUGGAGGAACACCGAUGGCGAAGGCAGCCCCCUGGGCCGAUACUGACGCUCAUGCACGAAAGCGUGGGUAGCAAACAGGAUUAGAUACCCUGGUAGUCCACGCCCUAAACGAUGUCAACUAGUUGUUGGGAGGGUAAAACCUUUUAGUAACGUAGCUAACGCGUGAAGUUGACCGCCUGGGGAGUACGGCCGCAAGGCUAAA